AGCGAACGCUGGCGGCGUGCCUAACACAUGCAAGUCGAACGUGAAAAGGGAAACCUGAGUAAAGUGGCGUACGGGUGAGUCACGCGUAGGUAAUCUACCCCAGAAUCUGGAAUAACCUGCCGAAAGGCGGGCUAAUACUGGAUAGAGCGAGGGAACUCGUAAGAGAGUUUUUCGAGAAAUGGAGCCCGCAAUGGCCUUCGUUCUUGGAUGAGCCUGCGUCUCAUUAGCUAGUUGGUAAGGUAACGGCUUACCAAGGCGAUGAUGAGUAGCUGGUCUGAGAGGAUGAUCAGCCACACUGGAACUGAAACAAGGUCCAGACUCCUACGGGAGGCAGCAGUGGGGAAUCUUGCGCAAUGGACGAAAGUCUGACGCAGGCACGCCGCGUGAGUGAAGAAGGCCUUCGGGUUGUAAAGCUCUGUCGGAUGGGACGAACAUCUUCAUAGUGAAUAGCUAUGAGGACUGACGGUACCAUCAAAGGAAGCACCGGCUAACUCCGUG
rnacentral:rRNA from 1 species